AUAAUACUCCAUAGAUUAGAGACACUGGAAUGUUCUUUAGUCGAAAGUUCUGGCGCCUUAGGAUGGAUCUGCGGUCGAUUAGGUUGUUGUUGGGGUAACGGCCCAACAAGCCUGUACUCGAUACGGGUUGUGGGAGCAAGAGCCCGGAGAUGGAAUCUGAGACACGAUUCCAGGCCCUACGGGGCGCAGCAGGCGCGAAAACUUUACAAUGCAGGAAACUGUGAUAAGGGAACUCCGAGUGCCCGUAUACGCGGGCUGUCCAGGUGUUUAAAAAUCAUCUGAAGAAAGGGCCGGGCAAGACCGGUGCCAGCCGCCGCGGUAAUACCGGCGGCUCGAGUGGUGGCCACUAUUAUUGGGCUUAAAGCGUCCGUAGCUGGACCGAUUAGUCUCUUGGGAAAUCCGCCGGCUCAACCGGCGGGCGUCUAAGGGAUACUGUUAGUCUAGGGACCGGGAGAGGUGAGAGGUACUCCGGGGGUAGGAGUGAAAUCCUGUAAUCCCCGGGGGACCACCGAUGGCGAAGGCAUCUCACCAGAACGGCUCCGACAGUGAGGGACGAAAGCUGGGGGAGCGAACCGGAUUAGAUACCCGGGUAGUCCCAGCCGUAAACUAUGCGCGUUAGGUGU
rnacentral:rRNA from 1 species